rnacentral:rRNA from 1 species
GACGAACGCUGGCGGCGUGCCUAAUACAUGCAAGUAGAACGCUGAGGUUUGGUGUUUACACUAGACUGAUGAGUUGCGAACGGGUGAGUAACGCGUAGGUAACCUGCCUCAUAGCGGGGGAUAACUAUUGGAAACGAUAGCUAAUACCGCAUAAGAGUAAUUAACACAUGUUAGUUAUUUAAAAGGAGCAAUUGCUUCACUGUGAGAUGGACCUGCGUUGUAUUAGCUAGUUGGUGAGGUAAAGGCUCACCAAGGCGACGAUACAUAGCCGACCUGAGAGGGUGAUCGGCCACACUGGGACUGAGACACGGCCCAGACUCCUACGGGAGGCAGCAGUAGGGAAUCUUCGGCAAUGGACGGAAGUCUGACCGAGCAACGCCGCGUGAGUGAAGAAGUGCUCCGGCAUGUAAAGCUCUUUCAGCAGGGAAGAUGAUGACGGUACCUGAAUAAGAAGCCCCGGCUAACUACGCGCCAGCAGCCGCGGUAAUACGUAGGGGGCAAGCGUUAUCCGGAUUUACUGGGUGUAAAGGGAGCGCAGGCGGUCUGGCAAGUUGAGAGUGGAAGCAGGGGGCUCAACCCCCUGACUGCUCCCAAAACUGUUGGACUGGAGUAUGGGAGAGGCAGGCGGAAUUCCUAGUGUAGCGGUGAAAUGCUCAGAUAUUAGGAAGAACACCGGUGGCGAAGGCGGCCUGCUGGACCAAAACUGACGCUGAGGCUCGAGAGCGUGGGGAGCGAACAGG